AAGAGCCUUGGAAUGGCUGUUCGGGUCCUGGCAGGUCGAUAACAAGCCCCAUUUCCCCCCAUAGUUCACAAGUCGGAGUCGGAGCUUCGGGAACUGCUGGAAAAAAGGGAAAAGAAACUGAAAGAAAAAGAGGAGAGAAAAAGGAAACAGGAGGAAAAUGUGAAGAGGAAGAGGGAGAACAGGGAACAAAUGAGACGCCGCAGUCUGGCUGGGAUGACCCGGAAGCGGAAGUUGUUGGACAAUGACCCGGAAGCUGAAGAUCCCGGAACCGAGAAAGAACCGGAACCGGAAUCGGAUCAAAGUGACCUGGAACAUUAUAGGGAGGAAGUGGGGCAGGAACCGGAACCAGAUCUGUUCCCAAACAGGAGCCGAAGUCCUUCAGCCCCACAGCGGAAACGACGGCGCCGUGACCCACAAGAACGGAACCGGACCCCAAAUCCACCCCAUAGAACUGAGGGGAAAAAGGGGGCGACCCCAAAGCAUCACCCUAUGGGGCAGAGGAAGAAGAAUGGGACCCCAAACCAUCAUUCUAUGGGGCAGAGGAAGAAUGGGACCCCAAAGCAUCACCCUAUGGGGCAGAGAAAGAAUGGGACCCCAAAUGCUCACCCUAUGGGGCAGAGAAAGAAGGGGGGGACCCCAAAGAAGAGGGGGACCCCAAAUCCGCCCCAUAGGGAUGAAGGGAAGGGUUGGACCCCAAAGAAGAGCGGGACCCCAAAUCCUCAUUCUAUGGGGCAGAGGAAGAAGGACGGGACCCCAAACCAUCAUUCUAUGGGGCAGAGAAAGAAGGGGGGGACCCCAAAGAAGAGUGGGACCCCAAAGAAGGGGGGGACCCCAAACCAUCACCCUAUGGGGCAGAGGAAGAAGAGUGGGACCCCAAAUCCUCACCCCACAUCGCCCACCGUGCCCCAUAGGGCUGGGGGGGUGAAGAAGAAGCGGACCCCAAAUGCGCCCCAUAGGGCUGGGGGGGUGUUGGGGGGCAGAAUGGGGAGUGCUAUGGGGCAGAGGAAGGGGAUGGGAAAGGGGCAGAAGGGUUUUAUGGGGCAGAAGAAGGGGAGGAGCU
rnacentral:lncRNA from 1 species